UCCACAGCCAUAUCAGCCUGCAAUCCAAAACUGAUUGCCCACUGAAGCUAAGCAGGGUUGAGCCUGUGAGCCUGGUCAGUAUCUGGAUGGGAGACCUCUUGGGAAAACUAGGUUGCUGCUGGAA
rnacentral:rRNA from 1 species